CCUGGGGUCUAUUAGCUACCAGUGAGACCAGGUGGUUCAAAUGGCUCUGUGGAGUUUCUUAUGCUCUUAUAUGCAGUAAAUUCACUAGUUUAAACACUGCUGAGGAAUUCAGUCUUGAUGCAGACAGUGGUCAGUAAUAUUCAUCCCUAGCUCAGGGUUGUCUGAGUUGCAACAAGAUUUCUGUCUUGUCACAGACUCCAGCUGGAGAGGCCAGUGUCUCCAGUGCCCAGCUGUGUGUCUAUGCAGAGUGACCAGUCUGGGAAAAAGCUAGUGAAUUUCCGAGACGAUUCCUCCACUGCUGGAGCAAGUGAGCCAGCAAUGACCUGUGAUUUCUGUCUGGAGAAGAAGCUCAGAGCUGUGAAACACUGUCUGACCUGCGCUGCCUCCUACUGUGAGACACACAUCAGACAGCACUACACUGUCCCAGUCCUGCAGAGACACAGACUGAUGGACACAACUGGAGCCCAGGAGCCCAGAAUGUGUCAGCAGCACCACAGGGCUCUGGAGCUGUUCUGUAGGACUGACUGUACAGACAUCUGCACUCUGUGUAGAGUAAAGGAGCACAGAGACCAUGACACCAUCUUUCUAAAGACAGAGCAGGACCCGACACAGGUAAGGAGCUUCAGUCGAUUGUCUACAGUCUGCGGAGGUCAUCUGAAAGAUACAAGAGAGGGAGAUGGAAUAAAAAUAAAGAUAUGAAAUACAAUAUCAAAUUAUAUCAAAUACCAACAUAUCAAUAUAUCAUCUGAUUAUUUGACAUCAAGAUAUCAAA